rnacentral:rRNA from 1 species
UACGGGGGGGGCAAGCGUUGUUCGGAAUUACUGGGCGUAAAGGGCUCGUAGGCGGCCAACUAAGUCGGACGUGAAAUCCCUCGGCUUAACCGGGGAACUGCGUCCGAUACUGGAUGGCUUGAGUUCGGGAGAGGGAUGCGGAAUUCCAGGUGUAACGGUGAAAUGCGUAGAUAUCUGGAGGAACACCGGUGGCGAAGGCGGCAUCCUGGACCGACACUGACGCUGAGGAGCGAAAGCCAGGGGAGCAAACGGG